UACAGGCGUGAGCCACCAUGCCUGGCCAGGAAGCCAAUUUAUAACAAGUUUUCUUGGUAGCACAUGGGUAAUUAGUUGAUGACCCUAAUGGUCCCUUCCCCUCAAAGUUUGGUGCAUCCUCUCUCUCUCUCUCCCAGCCGUGUGAGGACACAACACGAAGUUGGCCAUCUGGGGACCAGGAAGAGAGCUCUCCCCAGAACCCAACUAUGCUCGCGCUUGACUUUUGACUUCCUAGCCUCUGCUAGGCCACGUGGAGAGUGAGAGGCCCUGAGACUAUAUGGAGGAGAACGAGAAGCUCAGCCAGACAUGUGCCCAUGUUCAAGCUGACCCAGCCACCCUCUGGACUCCGGAGCUACACUGGCCGGGACCCCUGACGUGGGGGUGGUGAAGCCACAUCUUCAACUCAUUCUUCGGUGUGCAAGAUGCAAGUUAACAUGGAACUCAUUCUUGGGCAUGCAAAAGAUCAGGAAUGUUUAA